UGUCUGGUCACCUCCUUCCGUCUCUGCAGCUCCGGGUAGGUCCUGUCGUCAUCGUGAGGUGGGCGAGGACACGGGAAGGGAAGCCACAGGGCCUCCGCCCCGCACACCGCAGCACGCUAUCUGGCCCUCCCAUCUGGCCGUGGCCGUUUGUCUGCAGGGCUGGCAUCGAUGAGGCGGUGCAAGGAAACGAGCUCGCGGGUACAAGAGGCCCCGUACUCAAUGCCACUUCCCUGAAGACGUGGCACGCAGCCAGGCCACGGGGUGUGGGCGUGUCCACUACGCCCCAGGCUCUCAGGAGCAGGUGACGAACACGAGCCCGUGUCCCCAUGUCCUGCAGCUCAGGGAGGCUGUGUUGUGUUUUCUGCUUUGUGGGUCAACACGGGACGUGCCCAGCCCCCGCUGAUGCAAACAGCCCAGCGUCCACAGAUGGACGGAGAAAUGCAACGGGGUCCAUGCGUGGAUGGAGUAGGACUGAGCCACGAACAGGAACGGAGCUCUGAGGCCGGCUGCCCCGUGCACGGCCUCUGGGGACACGAUGCUCGUAUGAGAAGCCAGACUCACAGGACAGGUCGUGUGUGGUCCUGCAGACAUGGGAAGUGCACGGAGACGGGGAGCAAACAGACACUUCUGGCUACAGAACAGCACUGUGGAUGCACGAUCUCCUGGUGGAGUAUGAACCCUGAAACCAAGCGUCUGUGCCCCAGGACGAACCCAUGAUGGUCACAUACACAUGUGCACGCGUCCACACACAUGCACACGCACACGCACAGCCUCCUUGGCAAACAGGAAUCACACUUGCAACAAUCCUCCAGGACGUCUGACCUGCACUCCUCUCUGAACCUAAGCGUUCGUGCUGGAAAGCGCUCAGGGGUGGGCGUCAUUGAUUAGCUGGGGGGUGACUGGCGGUCAUGACCCACUGCACGUGCACACGUGGCUCGUUCCCCAGACGCGUUGCCUCCCAGAGAGCUCGAGAAAGCCAGACAUACGUGUGCUGGUGUGGUUGCCAUGCAACCAUUCGGGACACAGUCAUGGUGUCAAGCUACUGGGGACAGCCCGCGCAGAGCCUGGACGCCAUUGGCGAGAGUGGAGGUCAACCCUUGGAACAUCCUUUACGAAUGGGGUUUUUAGAGGGCCUGCCCCAUGGCAAACAACUGCGGGGGGCCCACCUGGGCUUGUAAGCUCGGGAAAGACAAGGCAGGGUAGCCCUGGGCCAAAAAUGUCAGGAGGCAUCAUCCGCUUGGUGAACCCACCAAGUCAGGUCACUCUUCCGCGUUUGACCUUGGGAUUCCUUGUCUUGGGUCUCUUCUUGUCUUGGUUGGAAAUGGGGUUCAUUAAAUUGUCUCCUGUUAAUAUACCAG
rnacentral:lncRNA from 1 species